rnacentral:rRNA from 1 species
AUAACGGUCCUAAGGUAGCGAAAUUCCUUGUCGGGUAAGUUCCGACCCGCACGAAUGGUGUAACGAUCUGGGCACUGUCUCAACUACCCACCCGGCGAAAUUGUAGUACCGGUGAAGAUGCCGGUUACCUGCGGCAAGACGGAAAGACCCCAUGGAGCUUUACUGUAGCCUGAUAUUGGGUUUCGGAAAUCUAUGUACAGGAUAGGCGGGAGACUGGGAAACAUGAGCGUCAGCUUGUGUGGAGUCGAUGUUGGGAUACCGCCCUUAGGUUUCUGGAAUUCUAACCUGCGGCCGUGAAACCGGUCGGGGGACAUUGUCAGGUGGGCAGUUUGACUGGGGCGGUCGCCUCCGAAAAGGUAACGGAGGCGCUCAAAGGUUGGCUCAGCACGGACGGAAACCGUGCCUCUGAGUGUAAACGCAAAAGCUAGCCUAACUGCGAGGGUGACGGCCCGAGCAGUAACGAAAGUUGGAGUUAGUGAUCCGGCGGUAUGUGAAUGGAAAUGCCGUCGCUCAACGGAUAAAAGCUACCCUGGGGAUAACAGGCUGAUCUCCCCCAAGAGUCCACAUCGACGGGGAGGUUUGGCACCUCGAUGUCGGCUCAUCACAUCCUGGGGCUGUAUUCGGUCCCAAGGGUUCGGCUGUUCGCCGAUUAAAGUGGUACGCGAGCUGGGUUCAGAACGUCGCGAGACAGUUCGGUCCCUAUCUGUCGUGGGCGCAGGAUAUUUGAGGAGCUCUGUCCUUAGUACGAGAGGACCGGGAUGGACGUACCUCUGGUGCACCAGUUGUCAUGCCAAUGGCACGGCUGGGCAGCUAUGUACGGAACGGAUAAACGCUGAAAGCAUCUAAGCGUGAAGCCGACUCCAAGAUUAGAUAUCCCAUCGUAUAACGAGUAAGACCCCUUGAAGACUACGAGGUUGAUAGGCUGCGUGUGUAAGUGCCGUGAGGCAUUCAGCUUGGCAGUACUAAUAGGUCGAGGGCUUGACCAC